UGGGGAAUCUUUGACAAUGGGCGAAAGCCUGAUCCAGCCAUGCCGCGUGUGUGAAGAAGGUCUUCGGCUUGUAAAGCACUUUAAGUUGGGAGGAAGGGCAUUAACCUAAUACGUUAGUGUUUUGACGUUACCGACAGAAUAAGCACCGGCUAACUCUGUGCCAGCAGCCGCGGUAAUACAGAGGGUGCAAGCGUUAAUCGGAAUUACUGGGCGUAAAGCGCGCGUAGGUGGUUUGUUAAGUUGGAUGUGAAAUCCCCGGGCUCAACCUGGGAACUGCAUUCAAAACUGACUGACUAGAGUAUGGUAGAGGGUGGUGGAAUUUCCUGUGUAGCGGUGAAAUGCGUAGAUAUAGGAAGGAACACCAGUGGCGAAGGCGACCACCUGGACUAAUACUGACACUGAGGUGCGAAAGCGUGGGGAGCAAACA
rnacentral:rRNA from 1 species